GGGCGCAUGGUUUAGUGGUAUAAUACUCCCUUAGCAAAACUGGGAUACCCAGUAUCGCAUGGGAGUGGUCCAGGGUUCGAUUCCCUGUGCGUCCA
rnacentral:tRNA from 1 species